CUCUGAGCUCUGCUUUAUCAUUCCUUGCUAGCACUCAGGGAAGGCUAUAUACUGCUCCACUACACUGUCAGUGCUAUUCAUCCCCUUACUGAGAGAAAUAUAACCUGCAUUAAUUUUACAAUUAUUUAUAGCUGUAUUUUAGAGGAGAAAACAAUCUCCCUUGUAAUUUUUCUCAUUGUAUCUACAGUGUAAAAAAAGUGUGAGGUUUGGCACUAUGUUGUCAGGUGAGAGUAUUUGGAUUUUUGUAAUGCUUUGGGUCACCCCGAGCCUAUCUGCUCGGGAGUCCCAGCCCAGUGAGUACGACUAUGUAAGUUUCCAGCCAGAGAUGAGACGACAAUACCAGAGUGGACGAUUUUACUCUCGACCGGCACAAUGUGUGGAUAUUCCCCAGGACCUGGCAUUGUGCCAUGGAGUCGGAUACAACAAGAUGGUACUGCCCAACCUUCUGGACCAUGAGACUAUGGUAGAGGUGAAAUACCAGGCUAGUAGCUGGGUGCCCUUACUCAGCAAGAACUGCCAUCCAGGCACCCAAGUGUUCCUGUGCUCUCUGUUUGCUCCUGUUUGCUUGGACCGGCCCAUAUACCCAUGUCGCUGGCUUUGCGAAGCGGUCAGAGAUGGUUGUGAACCAGUCAUGCAGUAUUUUGGUUUUCCUUGGCCAGAAAUGCUUCGUUGCGACCAGUACCCUCGAGAAGAUGUCUGUAUAGCAGGCACAUCACCCAAUGCCACUCAAGCCCCACGCCCUCGAA